CUCCUACACCAAGUUCUCCCGUGAGAAGCUGGACACACUAGUCGAGUUCCCUAUCCGGGACCUUGAUUUCUCAGAGUUUCUCAUCAAACCAAGGAGCGAGGCUGACCCAGCUCCCUGCAAAUACGACCUCAUCGCUGUCUCGAACCACUAUGGAGGCCUGCGUGAUGGGCAUUAUACAACAUUUGCCCGGAACAAGGACAGUGGUCAGUGGCAUUACUUUGAUGACAGCAGCGUCUCCCCCGUGUCUGAGAGCCAGAUUGAGUCCAAGGCGGCCUAUGUUCUAUUCUAUCAGCGGCAGGACAAGGUGCAUCGGUCCCCAACCCGGCCUGGCCUGACCAACACGGUCUCCACACCCCCUAGCGAUGGCCCAGGCCCUUGUCCCCGGGUCGAGCCCAUGGACAUGGACUGAAGGAGGGGGAAACUGAGGGGGGGUGAGCACCAUCCUGUCCCCCUCCUCGUUCCCACAGAUCACCAGCACCCACUGCCCUGGACCAUCUCAGGUACUGCUCCCCAGGGCUUCCCUCUAGCCCUCUUUCCCUGGCCCCGGGGACCCCCAGCCAUGGCCGCUGCCCCCUCCCGUCCCUGGGCUCACCCCUUCCUCCAUGGGCAGCCACUCAAGUGCCUGCCCCACUCCUAGUCAGAGCAAUAAGUCCUGGCCUCCCUCCACCGUCCUUCCCCCCUCCCCCCCUCCCCAAUCCCCCUCGAGAUGUUUCUCUUUUUUUGUAAUUUAUGGUUCACUGCCCACUGGGGGCAGCCAGGGCUGGGUCUUCCGGGUGGGGGAGAAGGUCUAAGCCAGUGAAUACAGAUUGUAUUUUAUUAUUGAAGCCCUCCCCCUGCUGUCUGGUGCCCGUUGUACAUAAAAGCCCAUGUUUCACCUGGA